GACGAACGCUGGCGGCGUGCUUAACACAUGCAAGUCGAACGGAAAGGCCCCUUUGGGGGUCCUCGAGUGGCGAACGGGUGAGUAACACGUGAGUAACCUGCCCUUGACUUCGGGAUAACUUCAGGAAACUGGGGCUAAUACCGGAUAGGAAUCCUUGCUGCAUGGUGGGGGUUGGAAAGCUUCGGCGGUUUUGGAUGGACUCGCGGCUUAUCAGCUUGUUGGUGGGGUAGUGGCUUACCAAGGCUUUGACGGGUAGCCGGCCUGAGAGGGCGACCGGCCACAUUGGGACUGAUAUACGGCCCAGACUCCUACGGGAGGCAGCAGUGGGGAAUAUUGCACAAUGGGCGGAAGCCUGAUGCAGCAACGCCGCGUGCGGGAUGACGGCCUUCGGGUUGUAAACCGCUUUCAGCAGGGGCGAAGCUUGUGGUGACGGUACCUGCAGAAGAAGCACCGGCUAACUACGUG
rnacentral:rRNA from 1 species